rnacentral:lncRNA from 13 species
CCCCUCCCUGUCUUUCUAGCAGCCUGUUGGAGGCUGAUGGACAGGAAGCUGUCAUCUUCUCCCCCCCACCCAACAUCACCACCACUUCCCUCACCCUGUCCCUUCCUGGCUCCGGGUAGUGGUGAAACUCUUCCUGAUGAGGGGUACCUGUACCAUCCUGACCCUUUCUAAAUGGAGGGCAGCUGUGCUCCGCAGCAGGUGCUUACUGUAAGCCCAGGGGAUGUGCCACAUGCUUUGCCGCUUUGCCUCUUUGCCUUAGGAGAUUCUCACAACAACCUCAUGAGGGGUUCUUGCUCUGUUGGCCAGACUGGAGCGCAGUGGUGCAGUCUUGACUCACUGCAGCCGUGACCUCCCAGGCUCAAGCGAUCUUCCCACCUCAGUUUCCCAAGAAGCUGGGACCACAGGUGCAUGCCUACCU